GACUGAUGAGAGCAGAGAUGGAAGAACACUGUAGUUUGCUGGUUUCUAGAUGAGCUGAAAGCAAACCCCAGGGUCAAGAGACCCUGCCUCAAAGGAAUAGGUUUGUCUGUCACUACGUCUGGCUUUCUCUGUGCAUUCUAAUGCCUGAAUACAGAGCUCCUCACACGUUCACAGCAAGCACAUUAUAGCCUGGGCUGUCUUCCCAGCACUCCAGACACACCAACUUACUACUGCCAAUGCAGAUGUGAACACUGUCACCUGCCCCAUCCUAUUUAAUCUGUGCAAUGACAGCUCCUUGGGAAUGAUCUACUUGUGAGUUGGUGUGAUUUAAAGGUUCUCAUAUGAAAACUUCCCAGGCACGCGGUCUUCCCUGUCCUCAAACUUACCUACGGGGAGGCAGAAGCACAACUUACUAGAGGAACUGAACCUAGGAUAGCAAAAUCUCCCCUAUGAUGUCUGGAUGGUGUU
ensembl:antisense